AACGAACGCUGGCGGCAGGCUUAACACAUGCAAGUCGAGCGCCCCGCAAGGGGAGCGGCAGACGGGUGAGUAACGCGUGGGAACGUACCCUUUACUACGGAAUAACGCAGGGAAACUUGUGCUAAUACCGUAUGUGCCCUUUGGGGGAAAGAUUUAUCGGUAAAGGAUCGGCCCGCGUUGGAUUAGCUAGUUGGUGGGGUAAAGGCCUACCAAGGCGACGAUCCAUAGCUGGUCUGAGAGGAUGAUCAGCCACAUUGGGACUGAGACACGGCCCAAACUCCUACGGGAGGCAGCAGUGGGGAAUAUUGGACAAUGGGCGAAAGCCUGAUCCAGCCAUGCCGCGUGAGUGAUGAAGGCCUUAGGGUUGUAAAGCUCUUUCACCGGGGAAGAUAAUGACGGUACCCGGAGAAGAAGCCCCGGCUAACUUCGUGCCAGCCGCCGCUGUAA
rnacentral:rRNA from 1 species